CCGACCUUAGCUCAGUUGGAAGAGCGCGAGACUGUAACGGAUAAAUUCAUCUUGAGGUCGCCUGUUCGAGCCAGGCAGGUCGGA
rfam:Paxillus involutus ATCC 200175 unplaced genomic scaffold PAXINscaffold_4, whole genome shotgun sequence.